rnacentral:rRNA from 1 species
CACGUAGGGUGCGAGCGUUGUCCGGAAUUACUGGGCGUAAAGAGCUCGUAGGUGGUUUGUCGCGUUGUCCGUGAAGACUCACAGCUUAACUGUGGGCGUGCGGGCGAUACGGGCAGACUGGAGUACUGCAGGGGAGACUGGAAUUCCUGGUGUAGCGGUGGAAUGCGCAGAUAUCAGGAGGAACACCGGUGGCGAAGGCGGGUCUCUGGGCCGAUACUGACGCUGAGGAGCGAAAGCGUGGGGAGCGAACAGG